rnacentral:rRNA from 1 species
GAGUUUGAUCGUGGCUCAGGACGAACGCUGGCGGCGUGCCUAAUACAUGCAAGUGGAACGCAUGAUUGAUACCGGAGCUUGCUCCACCAUUAAUCAUGAGUCGCGAACGGGUGAGUAACGCGUAGGUAACCUACCUCAUAGCGGGGGAUAACUAUUGGAAACGAUAGCUAAUACCGCAUAACAGUCUUUAACCCAUGUUAGAGAUUUGAAAGGGGCAAGAGCUUCACUAUGAGAUGGACCUGCGUU